CACCAAUACUUCCUCUGUUGGCUCCUCGUAUUUUUUCCCACGUUGUCGGAAUAAAUUUCCAAAAAUUAUUUAAGCGCAUAAUUAAAUUAUCGCAACUAUUUCUCUUCGCAAUUAUUUUCGCACUUGGGAUAAAAUUAUUCACCUUUCGAAAUAUUCUGGGAUUUAAUUAAUUUUUCCCACAAUUAAAUUAAUUAUUUGCCCAACGAUUUAAUCAACUUACCCAAGCUAUUUUAUAUUCGAGCCCAACGUAAUUAUCGAACAACCCACCUUAUUUCUCCAUUUUAAAAGAUGAGCCCAACUUUAAUAAAUCAUCCUAUCAAUUUAUUAAGCCCAAAUUUUCUUAGAGCAAGGGCCCAAUUUCUUUUUUUUAACUCCCCAUACCCCCACGCCUAUCUCUGUCUCUUCUUCUUCCCCUUUUCUUCUUUCUCUUUUCUUCCCCUAAUUCUCUCUCUCUCUCGACGAAAUGCAUUCGACGAAAAAAAAAACAGAAGCGCCCUCUCAAAUUCCGUCGUCUCUCUCCCGUCGUUGUUGUCCGUUGGCCGCUUGAACUGUCGCCGCUGCUGCUGUCGGAAAAAUCGCGACGCCGCAGUCCCAUCGCCUUCUUCUGUCUCACUCCACCCGCACCAGCGCGUCAACUGACGUUCGUCAUCAACGUCGCUGCCGCUGUGCCGACGCCGCUACCGUCGUCGGCAGCCGCUGAACUGACGCCGACCUCUGCGUCGUCACUGCUGCUGUUCCUCGGCGGAAGGAUGCUGUUGUUGCUGCCGGUUCGUCUAGCUCGCCGCAGUGAGGCUGCUGCCAUCGUCGCUGGGAGACGCCGCCGUCGGUCAGCCUACGAAUCCUCCGAUUCGACCCAAAUCAACUCCGAACAGCCCCGAACUCUACCCAAACAGCCCCGAAUCCAAUUCGAACUACCUCGAUUAGCCCUGUUUCCCAUUAAAGGAAAUAUGUUAUGAGCUACAUGCAAAAAAAAUUCAUGCUUUGAAGAUGGGUAGAGAUUAUACCUCAAUGAAUUGAACUUGGUUGUGGAGAAAACAAAGAAUGGCUGCAACUUCUUCUUCCUCUUCCUCUCUCGGCUCUCUCUCCCUCUCUCUCCCUCUCUCUCUUUGUUCUUGUUGUAAAGUGUAUUGUGAGGAGUUAGGGGAGGGGAUACAUGAAGGAACUUAUGACCAUUUAUGGAAUAUUCUAACUGGGGCUCCUAAAGUGGGACACCCAAAAAUGGUAAACCGGGACUCCUAAAGUGAGACAGAGGGAGUACCAAUAUUAAAUAUUUUACUAUUAUACAUGGAAUGUACAUAAAAUUUCCAUAUAAUUUAAUGUGAGGGGUUAUAUUUA